AUGGCGACGGCGGUGUCGGCGCCCGUCUUCACGGCGACGGUGCGGGUCUCCAAUAUCCCGCCCUCCGCCGUCGCUAAGGAGCUCCUAGCAUUCCUCGAUUCCGCCGUCGCCACUGCCGGCGAAGCCUACGCCUGGGAGAUCGCCGCCGCCCGACGCGGCUGGUUAAGUCGAGGCGAUGGGAGCGUUUAG
rnacentral:rRNA from 1 species